CUAAACCAGAACUAAACCAGGACUAGACCAGGACUAAACCAGGACUAAACCAGGACUAAACCAGGACUAGACCAGGACUAGACCAGGACUAAACCAGGUCUAAACCAGGACUAGACCAGGACUAGACCAGGACUAAACCAGGACUAAACCAGGACUAGACCAGGACUAAACCAGGACUAGACCAGGACUAGACCAGGACUAAACCAGGACUAAACCAGGACUAAACCAGGACUAGACCAGGACUAAACCAGGACUAAACCAGGACUAGACCAGGACUAGACCAGGACUAGACCAGGACUAAACCAGGACUAGACCAGGACUAGACCAGGACUAAACCAGGACUAAACCAGGACUAGACCAGGUCUAAACCAGGACUAGACCAGGACUAGACCAGGACUAGACCAGGACUAAACCAGGACUAAACCAGGACUAGACCAGGACUAAACCAGGACUAGACCAGGACUAGACCAGGUCUAAACCAGGACUAGACCAGAACUAGACCAGGACUAAACCAGGACUAGACCAGGACUAAACCAGGACUAGACCAGGACUAGACCAGGACUGAACCAGGACUAGACCAGGACUGAACCAGGACUAAACCAGGACCAGACCAAGACUAGACCAGGACUAGACCAGGACUAGACC
ensembl:lncRNA